GGCCUGAUGGUCUAGGGGGGAUGAUUCUCGCUUAGGGUGCGAGAGGUCCCGGGGUUUAAAUCCCGGUCAGGCCC